rnacentral:rRNA from 1 species
UACGUAGGCAGCAAGCGUUGUUCGGAAUUACUGGGCGUAAAGAGUGCGUAGGCGGUGCUCUAAGUCUGUCGUGAAAUCUCCCGGCUCAACUGGGAGGGUGCGGCGGAAACUGGAGUGCUCGAGUGUGGGAGAGGUAAGCGGAAUUCCUGGUGUAGCGGUGAAAUGCGUAGAUAUCAGGAGGAACACCUGUGGUGUAGACAGCUUACUGGACCACGACUGACGCUGAGGCACGAAAGCGUGGGGAGCGAACAGG